rnacentral:rRNA from 1 species
GGGGAUAACGUAGCGAAAGUUACGCUAAUACCGCAUACGAUCUACGGAUGAAAGUGGGGGAUCGCAAGACCUCAUGCUCAUGGAGCAGCCGAUAUCUGAUUAGCUAGUUGGUAGGGUAAAAGCCUACCAAGGCGACGAUCAGUAGCUGGUUUGAGAGAACGACCAGCCACACUGGAACUGAGACACGGUCUAGACUCCUACGGGAGGCAGCAGUGGGGAAUUUUGGACAAUGGGGGCAACCCUGAUCCAGCAAUGCCGCGUGAGUGAAGAAGGCCUUCGGGUUGUAAAGCUCUUUUGUCGGGGAAGAAACGGUGAGGUCUAAUACAGCUUACUAAUGACGGUACCUGAAGAAUAAGCACCGGCUAACUACGUGCCAGCAGCCGCGGUAAUACGUAGGGUGCAAGCGUUAAUCGGAAUUACUGGGCGUAAAGCGUGCGCAGGCGGUUAUAUAAGUCAGAUGUGAAAUCCCUGGGCUCAACCUAGGAACUGCAUUUGAGACUGCAUGGCUAGAGUGUGUCAGAGGGGGGUAGAAUUCCACGUGUAGCAGUGAAAUGCGUAGAUAUGUGGAGGAAUACCGAUGGCGAAGGCAGCCCCCUGGGAUAACACUGACGCUCAUGCACGAAAGCGUGGGGAGCAAACAGGAUAGAUACCCUGGUAGUCCACGCCCUAAACGAUGUCUACUAGUUGUUGGGUCUUAAUUGACUUAGUAACGCAGCUAACGCGUGAAGUAGACCGCCUGGGGAGUACGGUCGCAAGAUUAAAACUCAAAGGAAUUGACGG